UCGCCGCUGGGAAAAACGGCGCAAGAGGGUCGUUAACCUUCUAGUGCCGCUAGGGCCUGCUGGGUCACUUGGUGUCACCUUUGACCCUUGCUCCCUAGGAAUGAGGUUUCGGGGUCAACCUUAGCUGCUCGUAGGCCACACUGUGUGCACCGUGGAGAUCUGUGGAUGGCGCUUGUCUACUUUUCUGUUUCUUAGGAGAUACCAAGUUAUAAGAAAAAUAAUUGCCAAAUUAGAAGAAUUGGAUGCCUGGCUUUGUGAGUGUCUGGGUGUCACCUGACUUCAUUAGAGCGCCCCUGUGGGAUUGUGGGAGAUGAUGCUCCUGUUUCCAUCUAGAGUCUCCUUGAGCCAACAUAGAGAAAGAGGCCCUUAUGAGCACAAGGCAGUUGUGUCGUGUGAUGGUCUUCUGGAAACUGUCUUCCGAGAGGAUGUUUGGCUGAAGCAGACACGCGAGGAUGUUUGGCUGAUAAUAGACAUUUGGUCAUGUUUUUCUGGAAGCUGCCUGCUGAAAGGGCGUGUGAUGUUUUGCUGGAGGGUAUGGUUAAGAGGACCCUUGACGUUUGGAAAGAGUGCAGAAGACCCAGGAGAAGCUUGCCACAGGGCCAAGAGCUCCUCGGUGAACCGGAAGCUCAUUGGCUGAGAGGGCAACGAGACAGCAGGUGAAUGAAUAAACAAACCGUGAUUGACUCAGACAGGAGGACCGCAGCCGUGGAAAGUGAAGAGUCAUAAAGGCAGUAACAUGUGGAGGAAAGCUGCAGCACGGAUCUAAGUGAAAGAAGCCGCGCUGACAAGACCACGUGGUCUAUGCAAAAGCUUCAGGUCAGAGGCUGGACCCCUUCCUCUUCCUGCAUCUAUGCUUAUAUACUGUGCGGAAAGAUGAUUCUCAACUGCUGGGACAAAAUGAAUCUCUCCGAGGCAUCUUUCCUUUCUCCACAGCAGCGCACAGAGAGGCAAGUGUAUGGUUCAUCUUCUAGAGACACACAUUCACUACCUUCUUGGUUUUUUAACUUGAGAACAGGAGACCUGGGUGUCCUAUGGGUGAUCUGUUCAUGUGAAUUACUAACUCUUGGGGUGGGAGCUUAUCCAGAUCUUGUUUGCCCCACUGGUAUUUCCAUCUCCACACUGCUUAGAUGCAUGGGACCCGUGAUGGUUGGCUUGAGACUCCCUCCCACGGGU